CCCCUCUCACCAUUACACUCAAAUAAAAGGUAAGAAAAACAUGCUCCCCUCUCACCAUUACACUCAAAUAAAAGGUAAGAAAAACAUGCUCCCCUCUCACCAUCACACUCAAAUACAAGGUAAGAAAAACAUGCUCCCCUCUCACCAUUACACUCAAAUACAAGGUAAGAAAAACAUGCUCCCCUCUCACCAUUACACUCAAAUACAAGGUAAGAAAAACAUGCUCCCCUCUCACCAUUACACUCAAAUACAAGGUAAGAAAAACAUGCUCCCCUCUCACCAUUACACUCAAAUAAAAGGUAAGAAAAACAUGCUCCCCUCUCACCAUUACACUCAAAUAAAAGGUAAGAAAAACAUGCUCCCCUCUCACCAUCACACUCAAAUACAAGGUAAGAAAAACAUGCUCCCCUCUCACCAUCACACUCAAAUAAAAGGUAAGAAAAACAUGCUCCCCUCUCACCAUCACACUCAAAUACAAGGUAAGAAAAACAAGCUCCCCUCUCACCAUCACACUCAAAUACAAGGUAAGAAAAACAUGCUCCCCUCUCACCAUCACACUCAAAUACAAGGUAAGAAAAACAUGCUCCCCUCUCACCAUCACACUCAAAUAAAAGGUAAGAAAAACAUGCUCCCCUCUCACCAUCUCACUCAAAUACAAGGUAAGAAAAACAUGCUCCCCUCUCACCAUCACACUCAAAUAAAAGGCAAGAAAAACAUGCUCCCCUCUCACCAUUACACUCAAAUAAAAGGUAAGAAAAACAUGCUCCCCUCUCACCAUCACACUCAAAUAAAAGGCAAGAAAAACAUGCUCCCCUCUCAC